GUGCUCACAUUGACAGCACACAUGCUAAAAUUGGAACCAUGCAGAGCAGAAGAGCAUGGCCCCUGUGCAAGGAUACACAAAUUUAUGAAGCAUUUUAUAUAUAU